AAUAGAUACCCAGGUAGUCCACGCCGUAAACGAUGAGUGCUAAGUGUUAGAGGGUUUCCGCCCUUUAGUGCUGAAGUUAACGCGUUAAGUAUCCCGCCUGGGGAGUACGCUCGCAAGAGUGAAACCCAAAGGAAUUGACGGGGGCUCACACAAGCGGUGGAGCAUGUGGUUCAAUUCGACGCAACGCGAAGAACCUUACCCAGGCUUGAACAGCGAGUGACCAACUCCGAAAGGGGUCUUCCGCAAGGACACUCGUAGAGGUGCUGCAUGGCUGUCGUCAGCUCGUGUCGUGAGAUGUUGGGUUAAGUCCCGCAACGAGCGCAACCCUCGUCCUAUGUUGCCAGCGGAUAAUGCCGGGGACUCAUAGGAGACUGCCGGUGACAAACCGGAGGAAGGCGGGGAUGACGUCAAAUCAUCAUGCCCCUUAUGACCUGGGCUACACACGCACUACAAUGGCCGGUACAACGGGCUGCGAAACCGCGAGGUGGAGCCAAUCCCAACAAAGCCGGUCUCAGUUCGGAUUGCAGG
rnacentral:rRNA from 1 species